rnacentral:rRNA from 1 species
AUUGAACGCUGGCGGCAUGCUUUACACAUGCAAGUCGAACGGUAACAGGUUAAGCUGACGAGUGGCGAACGGGUGAGUAAUGCAUCGGAACGUGCCCGAUCGUGGGGGAUAACGCAGCGAAAGCUGCGCUAAUACCGCAUACGAUCUGAGGAUGAAAGCGGGGGACCGUAAGGCCUCGCGCGAUCGGAGCGGCCGAUGUCAGAUUAGGUAGUUGGUGGGGUAAAGGCUCACCAAGCCAACGAUCUGUAGCUGGUCUGAGAGGACGACCAGCCACACUGGGACUGGGAAACGGCCCAGACUCCUACGGGAGGCAGCAGUGGGGAAUUUUGGACAAUGGGCGAAAGCCUGAUCCAGCAAUGCCGCGUGCAGGAAGAAGGCCUUCGGGUUGUAAACUGCUUUUGUACGGAGCGAAAAGGCUCUCUCUAAUACAGGGGGCUCAUGACGGUACCGUAAGAAUAAGCACCGGCUAACUACGUGCCAGCCGCCGCUGUAACAC